CCCACAUUUAGUUCUGCUUAUGACUAUGACUUCAGAGCGGAACUGAGACAUGAAUGCCUCCUUCACAAAGGGACAACUGGGCUUUCUUAUCACCGAGCUGUGAUGGGAGAACCUCGUGGAUAGACCGUGGCCCUAUUACUUAGUUGUGUUUUUCGGCCGAGCUGGAAUGACCACUUUGGUAAACUCUAAAAUUCACCUUGGCUGGGUGGUGGCUUGUUCUGGUUACCCAAAGUCUUGUUCAUGCAACGCCUCCAUAUACAACACAGGGUAUGUGGCCCUGUGUUCAAAUAACUUGGCAUUUAAUAAAUGCUCCCCACUUGUUCCAAGCAUGUCCUACCUCUUUCUGAGUGUGCAAAAGGCAAUUUUGCAUCUUGUAAUGCCUUCAGGGCCUCACUGGGUCAUUCAGUAUCAACUUAGUAGCCCAUGGUGUAUCUCUGGCCAGUCACCGCACCUCCUUGCUUCCCCCUCUUCUUCUGUAUGACGAGGGCUCUGGAAGGAUGAUCACCACGUGGCCCCCAGCCCUAAUGUGGUGGGCCCAUAAUUCCCUUGCAGAUUUCUGGAGGUGCAGAGGAACAGUGGGGUCUAGGGGGUAACCUGGGUUCUGCUGAGGGCUCCCUAGAAUGACAAUGGAAUACAGAGAUGGUCUAGCCCCCACAUUCUCAUUGCCCAAAGGAGCCCAAGGUGGUGACUCCGAGGUCCCACAGAAUGGUUCUCUGGUUUCUCUUCCCUUUUCAAUUCUCUCUCUGCUCUCAUCACGUCGGUCUGUGAAUCACUCCAUCUUUAUUUCUGCCACCCUCAGGCUGUUCCCCUGCCUUUGGCAUCUCUAUCUCCCAACCUGCUGUGACACUCACUUUAACAUCCAGGGUCCUGGUUCCCGAACCAGCCACAGAGUGACAUCAGCCGUGUUAGCCAGACCCAGGAUGUGGACGUGCACUGGAAGGGUUCGACUCCAGGGCAAAUCCAGGCGGAGGGUAUGGAGGUGGAGCUACCGUCUGUCACCACACAAACCAUUAAGGAAGCCUUUCCCCUUUAAGGGCUGUCAUUGCAGUAGUAAUGAGUGGCUCAUUUAG
rnacentral:lncRNA from 1 species